rnacentral:rRNA from 1 species
UGGGGAAUAUUGGGCAAUGGGCGAAAGCCUGACCCAGCAAUGCCGUGUGGGCGAUGAAGUCCUUCGGGAUGUAAAGCCCUUUUAUGAGGGAAGAAAGAUAUGCAGGCUAAUACCUUGCAUGUUUGACGGUACUUCAUGAAUAAGCCCCGGCUAACUCCGUGCCAGCAGCCGCGGUAAUACGGAGGGGGCAAGCGUUGUUCGGAAUCACUGGGCGUAAAGGGCGCGUAGGCGGUUAUGCUAGUCAGGUGUGAAAUCCCCAGGCUUAACUUGGGAACUGCGCUUGAAACUGCAUAGCUUGAGGCCGGGAGAGGAAAGUGGAAUUCCUGGUGUAGCGGUGAAAUGCGUAGAUAUCAGGAGGAACACCGGUGGCGAAGGCGGCUCUCUGGACCGGUUCUGACGCUGAAGCGCGAAAGCGUGGGGAGCAAACGG